GAUGAACGCUAGCUACAGGCUUAACACAUGCAAGUCGAGGGGCAGCACAGUGUAGCAAUACACGGGUGGCGACCGGCGCACGGGUGCGUAACACGUAUCCAAUCGGCCCGUUACUCGGGGAUAGCCUUCUGAAAGGAAGAUUAAUACCCGAUGGCAUGUAUUUCCGGCAUCGGAGAUACAUUAAAGAUUUAUCGGUAACGGAUGAGGAUGCGUACGAUUAGCUAGUUGGCGGGGUAACGGCCCACCAAGGCGACGAUCGUUAGGGGUUCUGAGAGGAAGGUCCCCCACGCUGGAACUGAGACACGGUCCAGACUCCUACGGGAGGCAGCAGUGAGGAAUAUUGGUCAAUGGUCGAGAGACUGAACCAGCCAAGUAGCGUGAAGGAUGACUGCCCUAUGGGUUGUAAACUUCUUUUGUUUGGGAAUAAAGUCAGGUACGUGUACCUGUUUGUAUGUACCAUUCGAAUAAGCAUCGGCUAAUUCCGUGCCAGCCGCCGCAGUAACAC
rnacentral:rRNA from 1 species